rnacentral:rRNA from 1 species
GAUGAACGCUGGCGGCGUGCCUAAUACAUGCAAGUCGAGCGAACGGACGAGAAGCUUGCUUUUCUGAUGUUAGCGGCGGACGGGUGAGUAACACGUGGAUAACCUACCUAUAAGACUGGGCUAACUUCGGGAAACCGGAGCUAAUACCGGAUAAUAUUUUGAACCGCAUGGUUCAAAAGUGAAAGACGGUCUUGCUGUCACUUCUAGAUGGAUCCGCGCUGCAUUAGCUAGUUGGUAAGGUAACGGCUUACCAAGGCAACGAUGCAUAGCCGACCUGAGAGGGUGAUCGGCCACACUGGAACUGAGACACGGUCCAGACUCCUACGGGAGGCAGCAGUAGGGAAUCUUCCGCAAUGGGCGAAAGCCUGACGGAGCAACGCCGCGUGAGUGAUGAAGGUCUUCGGAUCGUAAAACUCUGUUAUUAGGGAAGAACAUAUGUGUAAGUAACUGUGCACAUCUUGACGGUACCUAAUCAGAAAGCCACGGCUAACUACGUG